rnacentral:rRNA from 1 species
UAAAGGCCGCGGUAUUUUGACUGUGCAAAGGUAGCAUAAUAAUUAGUUUUUUAAUUGAAGGCUUGUAUGAAUGGUUGGACAAAGAAAAGUCUGUCUUUAGCUUUUUUUUUGAAUUUUACAUUUAAAUGAAAAGGUUUAAAUAGGUUUAAGGGACGAUAAGACCCUAUAAAGCUUUACUGUUUUGUUGGGGUGACAAGGAUGUAAAUAAAAAACUGUCCAGUAAAAAAACAAGUAGUGUUUUAAAAGAUCCUUUGUAAAGAUAAAAGUUUAAGUUACUUUAGGGAUAACAGCGCUAUUUUUUUUGAGAGUUCUUAUUGAAAAGAAAGUUUGCGACCUCGAUGUUGAAUUAAGGUUUCCUUAUGGUGCAAAGCUAUAAAGGUGAGUCUGUUCGACUUUUAAAACUUUACGUGACUGA